AUGAGUGGAGCUUGCUCCAUGAUUCAGCGGCGGACGGGUGAGUAAUGCCUAGGAAUCUGCCUGGUAGUGGGGGAUAACGUUUCGAAAGGAACGCUAAUACCGCAUACGUCCUACGGGAGAAAGUGGGGGAUCUUCGGACCUCACGCUAUCAGAUGAGCCUAGGUCGGAUUAGCUAGUUGGUGGGGUAAUGGCCCAUCAAGGCGACGAUCCGUAACUGGUCUGAGAGGAUGAUCAGUCACACUGGAACUGAGACACGGUCCAGACUCCUACGGGAGGCAGCAGUGGGGAAUAUUGGACAAUGGGCGAAAGCCUGAUCCAGCCAUGCCGCGUGUGUGAAGAAGGUCUUCGGAUUGUAAAGCACUUUAAGUUGGGAGGAAGGGCAGUAAGUUAAUACCUUGCUGUUUUGACGUUACCAACAGAAUAAGCACCGGCUAACUUCGUGCCAGCAGCCGCGGUAAUACGAAGGGUGCAAGCGUUAAUCGGAAUUACUGGGCGUAAAGC
rnacentral:rRNA from 1 species